rnacentral:rRNA from 1 species
UACGUAGGGGGCAAGCGUUGUCCGGAUUUAUUGGGCGUAAAGAGCGUGUAGGCGGCUUGGUAGGUCUCGCGUCAAAACCUGAGGCUCAACCUCAGUUCGCGUGGGAAACUACCUAGCUAGAGUCCGGAAGAGGAGAACGGAAUUCCCAGUGUAGCGGUGAAAUGCGCAGAUAUCAGGAGGAACACCGGUGGCGAAGGCGGUUCUCUGGGCCUUACCUGACGCUGGAGGAGCGAAAGCAUGAGAAGCAAACAGG